UAUCCUCGCGCACUACUGCUGCUGCCACUCGCUGUUCCACAGCCAGUGAUUCCACUGCGAGAGAGGAUUCUCAUGAGGUGAAAUCCGCCGUCCGGGUCGUGGCCAGCAGCAAGACAGGAGCAGCGCCGCCCGUCUCUAACGCGGUUCGUCAACGGGAGCAGUCGCGGCUAGCGUCGCCUGCCUCCGGCACACUUCGCCGCCCGGAGCGGUGGGGUUGAAAGGCGGUAAGACGGGAGUCGUCGCCGCUGGCUAGCGCCGCUCACCUCCGUCACGCUGCGCUGCCGGGGGCCGUGGUCUUGGCUGAGGGCAAGAUGGGAUCCGUCACGGCUAUGUCUGCUCGCCUCACGCGUGCCGCGCCGCGCUCGGCCGUGUCCUUGGCCGGUGGCAAAACAGGAGCCGUCGCGGCUAGUGCUGCCUGCCUCCGGCGCGCUCAAGGCCCGGCCAAGGUUCUGGCUGACCCGCUCCCUUGGAGAUGGGGCCAUGGUGGAACUGCUGCGCUGUCAGCCGGUGGCCGAGAUGCCGCACAGUCGCACUAGAAGAUGCGAGCUCGAUACUCAACAGGCAAAGGUUAUCUACAGAUGUACAGGGACUCUUCAUUUAUGGUCCUCUCUACAACGCGUGAAGAAUCAAGACCUAUUUACGGAGGUGUGUACACGAUUGGAGGAUACGGCGAGGGAUACUUUUAUCCAACAUGGGUGGAAACAUGAUCAUAGGAUUGGCCCACCUCCGCUUUUGGCGUUAUACAGACUCUAUCUUUGUAUUCCGCCUAUCUAUUUUUCGUUCUUGCAGAGGACUUUGUUUGGCUGUGUGCAUCUUAGUUAUGCAGAGGCCGGGUGUAAUGCUUAAACCUUUUAAGUAAUAAAGCGCCCCUUUUCG